CCUACGGGUGGCAGCAGUGGGGAAUAUUGCACAAUGGGGGAGACCCUGAUGCAGCGACGCCGCGUGAGUGAAGAAGUAUUUCGGUAUGUAAAGCUCUAUCAGCAGGGAAGAAAAUGACGGUACCUGAUUAAGAAGCCCCGGCUAACUACGUGCCAGCAGCCGCGGUAAUACGUAGGGUACAAGCGUUAUCCGGAGUUACUGGGUGUACAGGGAGCGUAGACGGCAGCGCAAGUCUGAAGUGAAAUGCCGGGGGUUAACCCCGGAACUGCUUGGGAAACUGUGCAGCUAGAGUGCAGGAGAGGUAAGGGGAAUUGCUAGUGUAGCGGUGAAAUGCGUAGAUAUUAGGAGGAACACCAGUGGCGAAGGCGGCUUACUGGACUGUAACUGACGUUGAGGCUCGAAAGCGUGGGGAGCAAACAGGAUUAGAUACCCCGGUAGUUC
rnacentral:rRNA from 1 species